rnacentral:lncRNA from 1 species
AUAUAUACCUUAAAAUCAUCUUCGAUUCUCCUACGUUAAUUGCAUUAAUAUCCUAAACCAAAACAAAUUAAAGAAAUGGAGAAAACAGCACACUGUCUAAUCCUGCCAUAUCCCAUCCAAGGCCACAUAAACCCCAUGAUCCAAUUCUCGAAACGCUUAGCCCACAAGGGCAUCGCAGUCACCUUCGCCGUCACAGAAGACGUCCCCGUCAACGAAUUCUCCGCCGACAUCUCCGUCGAGACCAUCUCCGACGGCUACCAUGGCAACAGAGCCGACGCCGCCUUGCCGGAGUAUCUGCUCAUCUUCCGAAAGGCCGGGACGGAAUCGCUGUCCAAACUCAUCCAGAAGCUUCGAGAAGACGGCCGCCCCGUCGACUGCGUCGUCUACGACGCGUUCCUGCCGUGGGGGCUCUCCGUCGCGAAGGAUUUGGGGCUGUUUGGGGCUGUGUUUUUCACGCAGUCAUGCUGCGUCAACAUCAUCUACUACAAUAUAUUCAAAGGGUUGCUGAAAGUUCCGGUUUUGGAGAAGGAGAUCUCGGUUGCUGGGCUGCCGGCGCUGGAGGUUUCCGAUCUGCCGUCGUUUGUUCUUGAUCAGGAGGCGCAUCCCGGCUCGCUCGAGCUGCUUCUGAGCCAGUUUGAAGGCGUGGAGGAUUGUGAGUUCGUGUUCGUUAACUCGGUUUAUGAGCUCGAGGAAGAGGUAUAUAUAUCACUUACAUUUUAUUCCCUCAGUCGUCGCACGUCAAAUGAUCCCAUUUAUAUUUAGAGUUGUUGCAAUUCAAAUGAUUCAACCAAAAUUUAAAAAUAUUUAACCCUACUUUUUGUAUGAUCUCAUCAUCAUUUUACACUUUUAUUAUAUAUUCCUUAGUCUCUAUGCCCAAUUUUUUUGAUUAUUUGAAGCAGGACGGUGGAGUAAUUGAUUUGAAUUCAAAUUAAUUAAUCAUAUAAACCAAAAACGGAAUAGAAACUUGGAAUUAUGCUUGGUUUGUUUUCAUGCUCAUCAUAUAUUGCUUUCAAGGUAUGCUUCAUUCCUUCACGUAUAUCUACAUAUUCCUUGUGGCUAAGUGGCAUUCAGUCAUAUUCAUUUAUUACAAUUUGUGUUUUGCUUCCUAGCAUGGCAGAUCGAUCCUAUCAUCGGCCACCCAAAAGAUAAAAGUAAUACGACAAAGAUUGGGUAAAAGAAUGGACCAUGAUGUGAUUGUUAUUAUGUUUAAUUUAUUUUUUAAUAAAAAAAUAUUUAAUGUUCUUUGAAAAAUAUUUCGUCCGUCCAUGAAAGAACUUCCUAGGAGGGAGUAACACGGAUUUUAAGAAAAAUAUUAUUGAGUGUAUUGAAAGUAAAGAAAAAGUUGUUGAAUGUAUUGGGAGUAGUGAAAAUGUAUUAUAAUUAAUAUUGGAAGUUGUGAAAAAAUGAAAAGUAAGUAAUUAUAAGUAGUGGGGUAUAGACCAAAAAUAGAUAGGAAGUUUUUUGUGGACGUCCCAAAAAGGAAAGAUAGAAAGUUCUUUCGUGAACGGAGGAAGUAUAAUUUAUAUAUAAUUAUUUUAUUUUAUCUUUAUCUAUUGCUCCACAUAUAAUUUUUACAAAUAUUAAAUAAUACUUCAUAUAUCAUUAUUUAUUGGGCAAAAGAGUGACAUAAUUUUUAUGUAACAAAAUUUAGUUACACAAGCGCACAUGUAUGUAUCUAUAAAUUUUUAUUACAUAUAAUAAUAUAAUUAAGCAAAUUUUGUUUCUUACAAUAAUUAACACACUUUCAGAUUACUAUAUUUUGUGACAUUCUUUUACUUUUAUAGCACGAAUAAUAGUUACUCAAAAAUUAUAUUUUUUGUGGACGGAGAUAGUAUAACUUUACUUAUUCAAAAAUCAUGUAACUAAAAAAGCACUAAUUUUAUAGAAACAAAUGGAGAAUUAACUUAUAUUAAGGUACCUUAUUUGCCUCGUGUCUGGUUUCAGGCAACUGAUUGGCUGAGAAAAUUUAUGUUCGUGAAAACAAUCGGACCAACCAUACCGUCAAUGUACCUAGACAAAAGAUUGGCACACGAUACAAAUUAUGGUCUUAGUUUGUUCAAGCCAAUAGACACUUGCAUGGAAUGGCUACAACAACAAUCCCCUAAAUCAGUCAUAUAUAUCUCCUUUGGUAGUAUGGCCAAAUUAGAAAAGCAACAAAUGGAGGAAUUGGCAACAACCCUAAAGCUAACCGGCAAACCCUUCCUAUGGGUGGUCCGAUCGUCGGAGGAAUCGAAGCUACCCGAGAAUUUCGCAGAAGAGGCCUCGGGGAAGGGGCUAAUUGUGUCGUGGUGCCCGCAGUUGGAGGUUCUGGCCCACGAUGCCAUUGGCUGCUUUGUCACGCACUGUGGAUGGAACUCGACUCUAGAGGCCUUGAGUCUGGGGGUCCCGAUGGUGGGGGUGCCGUGGUGGAGUGACCAGGCUACCAAUGCUAAGUUUGUGAUGGAUGUUUGGAAAAUGGGAGUGAGGGCUUUCCCCAAUAAGGGAGGUAUUGUUGGGCAUGAGGAGUUGUCUCGUUGUGUGAAUUAUGUGAUGGAGGGGGAGAGAGCGGAAGAGAUGAGAGAAAAUGCAUUGAAAUGGAAGGAAUUGACAAAGGGAGCCGUUGAUGAGGGAGGAAGUUCGGAUAGAAAUAUUCAAGAAUUUGUUUCUACUAUGAUGGGAGGGGACCGGCCACAAAAAUAAUUAGGUUCUUGAUUAUUGAAAUAUCUUUAAAUAAUUGGAAAGUUCAUGUAUAUUAACCAUGAAUUUUGAUAUGAUGUAACACAGCUUAAUUUGUAAGAUGCUAUUUUUGUAACUAAUGAAUUGAUGGUUCGACUCAUCUAAAUAAAACAUGAAAAAAAAAAUGAUGGGGCAUUGGAGAACAAUUAUCAUUUAUGUAAAUGUUACUUGCAUCUCUCGUCUAUGUUCAAAUGGGAAUCGCUGCACCCGGCUAUAUUAGGAUUAGGCAAGUAAUUAGACAACAGUUAUUUUUUACUAGUGUGUAACCCGUCGAAAUUCGACGGGAAACCACUUUAUAUUAUAAUUAUUUUUGUACAUUAUUUUUUUAUUAUAGCAUAUGAAAUGAUCUUUAUAUAAAUUAUUUUUAAAUUUUAAUUUUAUUUGACCAAAAUAAAUUGCCGGUAUAGUUCAAGCAUUUUUGCUUGUUAGAAUACGUUUACUUUAAUGGAUAAAUUUAUCAAUGGAAAUAAUAGAUAACAAAAAUUUAUGCCUUUAAAUAUCUCAUUUCUUUUCCCACGUUUUACAUAAAAGAUAAGCGCAUCAUUUCUUCUUCCUUAUUUUCAUUUCAAAGAUGGAUAACAUUAUCACACCAAAAAUGGAGGGAUAAUAUUAUCCAUCCUUGAAGUGAAAAUAAGGAAGGAAAAAUAGUGAACUGGUCUUUUGUGUAAAAUGUGGGAGAAUAAAGGAGACAUUUAAAGACAUAAAUUUUUGUUAUCCAUCUUUUUUCAUAGAUAAUCGCGACCGACUUCAGUACACCCUUAUGUGUUUGUGUAAGCACGCUUAAUGAAUCUUUCGAGUGAUCACCAGUACAGAACACUCGUAUUAUUAUAAUAUGAUGAAAUUUUCAUAAAAAGUUGAUGUGAGGUUGGAGAUUUUAGAAAAGUAAUAAGAAAAAGAUUUAGCUUUAUUUGACAUAGAAUAUAAUGAAGGAUUGACACAUUGUAUUUUUUGUUAAUCUAGGAAAGAUUUACUAAUUUUAUAGGAGUGUAAUUUUUAUAAAUUGACAGCAAAAUUUAAGAUCACAUUUUAUAUAUGAACAUCAUCUCAUUCGAACUUUACAAGACUUUUGAGUAUCAUCUUGUCUAUAGCUUAAAAUAUCACAUUUGACUUUUGUACGUCGAACUUUAAUCAUUAUCUUAUCUGAAGCUUGUUAUAUGAGUUUUGGCUUAUGAGUAUCAUCUCAUCUGCAACUUGAAAAUAUAUAAAACUUGACUUGUAAGCAUCAUCUCAUUUGGAGCUCGUAAGACCAUAACAGAGUUGUGAGAAUCAUCUCGUAUGGAGCUUGAAAGACCAUAACUGACUUGUGAGCAUAAUCUCGUGUGGAGCUUGAAAGACCAUAACUGAUUUGUGAGCAUCAUCUCGUCUAUAGUUUGAUAGACCACAACUGAGUUCUAAGCAUCAUUGAUUUGGAGCUUGAAAGACUGGAGCUGAGUGCUAAGAAUUAUCUCAUUUAAAGUUUCAAAAGCCAUAAUUAAGUUAUGAACAUCAUUUUGUUUGGAACAUGACAAACCACAUAUAAUUUGUGACCAUCAUAUUGUUUGAAGCCAAAAUACUCGUAAGACCAUAACUGACUUAUGAGCAUCAUUUUGUAUAGAGUUUGAAAGACUAUAAUUGACUUGUAAGCAUCAUCUCGUCCAUAGUUUGAUAGAUCGGAGUUUAGUUCUAAUCAUCACUCGUUUGGAGCUUGAAAGACCGCAAAUGAAUGCUAAACAUUAUCUUGUUUGAAGCUUAAAGGAUCAGAAUUUAGUUAUAUAUAAGCAUCAUCUCCUUUGGAGUUUGGCAAGCCACUUACAAAUUAUGAGCAUCAUUUUGUUUGGAGCCAAUUGAGUACAUCUCGUAUGAAGCUUGAUAGACCACCUCUGACUUUUUAACAUUAUCUCGUAGAGUUUGAAAGAUCAAAGUAAAUUUUGAUAAUCAUCUUGUCUAUAGCUACUCCCUCCGUCCACCAAUUAAAGGCCUAUAUGAAAAACACGGGUUUUAAGAAAAAGUGUAUUUUUAUUAGUUGAGUGGAGAAAGGAUCCCACUUUUUAAGAAAAAAUGUAUUUUUAUUAGUUGAGUGGAGAAAUGGUCCCACUUUUUUGUAAAGAAUCUUUGACUUUUUUGAUUAAAUAAUGAAUAAAAACUUAUCAAAAAUAGGUAGGCCUUGUUUUUGUGGAUGGACCAAAAAAGCAAGUAGGCCUUAAAUUGGUGGAUGGAGGGAGUAUAUAAAAACUGCAUACAAUAUAUACUUUUAUUUAAGUUAUGAACUCAAAAAUUAUCAUAAAAAUUCAAAUAACAUAAUUUUAUUUUUAUAAAUCUAUUUUGCAUAGAUUGUAUGUUUGCUAAAAUAUCGUAAAACUAAAUAUUGAAUUAUAAAAUUAAUAAAAUAUAAAUAACAUGAGAAAAAUCAAAUUUAUUAAUUCAUCAUCUUAAUAUUCACAUGAUUUAAUAAUUUAAUUUGUAAAACUUUAUAAAAAAAAAGAUUUAGGAUUCAAAAUUUCUUUAAUGAAAAUUGCAUAAAAUAUACUUCUGUUUAGGUAAUUAACUCAAAAACUAUCAUAAAAAUCAAUGGUGAGAUUUAAAUUUCUUCAUUUUAUUUUUACAAAUUUGUUUUUAUAUAGAUUUUAUAUUUUCUAAAAUUUAAUAAAAAAAUCAUAAAAAUCAAUAUGAUAUUCAAAUUACAUCAUUUUAUUUUUAUUAAAUAUGUUUUAAUAUAAAUUUUUACAUUUGCUAAAGUAUCAUAAAGCUAAAUAUUGAAUUAUAGAAUUAAUAAAAUAUAAAUAACAUAAGAAAAAUCAUGAAUGGAGAUUAAGUGUUUUAUCUAGAUUAUUAUGAGAUUAUUUGGAAAUGAGGAUUUAUUUCAAAUUAAUUUGAAGAACUUAUUUAUUUAAUAUAUAUCUUAGUAUCAUUUUCUUUAUUUCAUAUGACCAAAUUAAAUUGAAUAACCUAUUUAUUUAAAAUAUAUUCAAGUAUCAUUUUAUUUAUUUUAUAUAGCCAAAUUCAAUUGAAUGUGGAAAACUACUAUUGCAAUUAUAUAUAAAAAUAUAAUAUUAUAAUAAUAUAUUAAGUAUUUCUUUAUCUAGAUCUUAGUGAUUAAGUUCAAUAGAAUAUUAAUGUGAGAAUGAUGAAAAGCUAAAAUAUGAAUGAAAAUUAAGCUUUUUAUUUAGGUUAUGAGUUUAAUGUGAAAAUGAGAUAUUUCAAAUUAUAUAUACAUGAUCAAAUUAAUUGAAGAACUUAUUUUUAAUAUAUAUCUUACUAUCAUUUUCUUUAUUUUAUAUGACAAAUUAAAUUAAAUUACUUAUUAUUUAAAAUAUAUUAACGAUCAUUUUAUUUACUUUAACAAGUUCAUUUAAGAUCUAUUGCAGUUAUAAAAACUGUGGAAAACUAUUUUUUGAAAUACAUAUUAUAAGUAUUUCUUUAUCUAUAUUUUCCAAUGUUAAAUAUAAUAUAAUGUGGAAAAAAUAGAUGCCUAAUGUCUACAUGAAGAUUGAGCCUUUUAUAUAGAUUAUGAAUUGAUGGAGUUUAGAAAUUUCAAUGUGGGAUGAUGAAGAAAAAUGUAAAAAUGCCAUAUAUAUAGAAUUGAGAAUAUCAAAAUACUAACUUGGGGAGUGCCACAUAGGAUAGAGAAUAAGAGAGGUCUUCAAUAUAUAGGACUGACAUUAUUGAAUAAAUUUUAUUAUUGUCAAAGUAAUAUUAGAUAAAUUAAAUUAUUUUUUUAAUAAAAAUAUAACUAUCUAUUUGGCCAACUAAAAGUUAAAUUGAUAAAAUUAAAUUGAUGAAGCAAAUAUAUAAAUGAUGAGAUACUACACAAGUAUUUAUAUAAUCUUUGAUCAAGAUGGAGUUUAAUUAAAAAUCAAUUUGGGAUAAGAGAUAUGACUUGUGAAACGAUGAGAAUGAAGGAGAAUAGAAAUUUUUAAAAUUGUGAAUUCUAGAUAUUAUACAUUAGCAAGAUUUUGCUAAUCAUAUUUAAUUAACAAUUAUAGCAAUAUAAAUAUAAUCGAUACAUUUCAUAUUUUGUAUUUUUUUGGAUUCAUCGUAUGCUUCUUUAUUGUAACAGCCCGGCUCCAGACUUGACGAUUGUCCCCACAGACCAACACGAGUCUUUUCUAGCGUGUUUUGUCCUCACUCGCACGCUCUCCGAGAAACUUCCCAUUGGGUCACCCAUCCUGAAAUUGCUUCAAGCCAAGCACGCUUAACAUUGGAGUUUCUUCCACAUGGGCACCAGAAAAGAAGAUGCAUCUUGUUGAUAUGAGUAGCACCUAUCAAAUCAUUUAAGCUCUCAUCGAAUAUGCAGUCCCAUACCUGCAUAUUCUCAGAAUCCAUCUCGUUCGGGUGUGUUCCAAUUCAUCCCUGCGCCCCUCCGCUUGGAAGUCUUAAUCGGAGCCGCUCCUGCCUCUUUUGCACCGGCGAUCACUCCGCACUUCGUCCCCGGGCGUCACAGGCCCACCAGCUUCUGCUUGGUUCGUCCCCGAACCACACCAUACUGGGAGAGGUUCAGCUCUGAUACCACCUGUAACAGCCCGGCUCCACACUUGACGGCUGUCUCAACAGACCAACAUGAGUCUUUUCUAGCGUGUUUUGUCCUCGAUCGCACGCUCCCCGAUAAACUUCCCAGGGGGUCACCGUCCCGAAAUUGCUCCAAGCCAAACAUGCUUAACCUUGGAGUUUCUUCCACAUGGGCACCAGAAAAGAAGAUGCAUCUUGUUGAUAUGAGUAGCACCUAUCAAAUCAUUUAAGCUCUCCUCGAAUAUGCAGUCCCAUACCUGCAUAUUCUCAUAAUCCCUCUCAUUCAGGUGUGUUCCGGUUCAUCCUUGCGCCCCUCCGCUUGGAAGUCUUAAUCGGAGCCGCUCCUUGUCCGUGUGCCUCUUUUGCACCGGCGAUCACUCCGCACUUCGUCCCCGGGCGUCACAUUUAUUGAUUAGUAUUUUUAUAUUUAUAUCUAUUAUGAAUUACUUCAUUAAAAAUAAUGAUUAGAUAUUAUGUAAAUAUUAUAUAUUAAAUAAAAAAUAUAGUGCGAAAAUUUAAAAUUACAUUAUUAUAUAUAUAAUAGAUAUGAAUUUUCCAAAUUUAUAUGCAUCUUGUAUAAAUGCACAUUAAUAUUGCUUAUGUAAUGGUUAAAUAUAUAAGGAAAGAAAAAUAAUUAUAUAUAUAAUGAUUAAUUGAAUUAAUAAUAAUAAUUUAAAAUAUUAAAUGUAGGAAACAAAGAGAAUACAUAAUACUUGUAGAAUUCAAAGAGUGUAAAAUAAUGAAUUGUGAGAGUGCCACAUAGGAGAGAGAAAGAUUAUUGACUCUUCAACAUGUAUCUUUUUUUUAUAUAUUAAUAGAUAGAUUACUUCUUUCCAUUUGCAAUUAAUGUCGGCAGUUUUAAAUUGUCUAAAAAUUGCGAUCACAUCGUCAAACUAGAUUAAUAUUGUCAUCUUGCAAUUUGCAAAUGCAUGCAAGUUCGUUUCUCCUUUUGAAUUCCAUGCAUGUCACUUUGCAAGUUCGCUUCUCUGAAUUCCAUGUCACUUUACUUUUUUAAGGGGGGUAUUUUGAUCAAUAAAUCUAUGCAGCCACAUUGUGGCCACCCACACACUAAUAUAAUAAGGAUAAUAUUGAUUUAUUUAAUUUAUUUUUUUAAAUAAAAAUAUGAUUUAGUUAUUUUAUUAUAUUCUCUACAUUGUUCUUAUUUUUUUUAAUUUUUUUUUGCAUUUUUUAUUUUUUAUUUAUUUGUUAAUAAAAAUAAAAAAUUACCAAAAAUUGCAAAAAAAUAACUAUAAUGUAGAGAAUAUGAUAAAAUAAUUAAAUCUUAUUUUUAUUUUAAAAAAUAAGUUAAAUAAAUUAAAUUAUUUUCUACUUAAGUAAAUUGUGGGUAGCCACAAUGUGGCUGUUUAGCAUUACUCUAUUUUGAUUAAAAUCAUAAUUAAUCUUUUUCUUUGAUAAAUUAAAAUUCAUAAUUAAUCUUAAUUGAUAUGGAGAGUUACUUUGUAGAAUAAGGCAACGGGCAACUUUGCAAUAUUCCUAUUUUAUUUUUACAAUCAUUACAAAAUAAUAAAUUAAAUAAAUGACGCAAAUAAAAAAAAAAUUCAAGACAAAAGGAAUGUAUACCACAAUUUUCAAUUUUCAUAAGGGUUCCACAGUGGCACAACGAUCAGAUUUCAUCAAUUUUUAUUCUACCUUCUCUGUUUCAUUAGUAAUUAUCCACUAUUUUUUAAUGUUGCAAUUGACCCAUCCAAUGGUGAAUCCAGAGGGGGGCUGAAGCCCCCUCCCAUUUUUUUGAGUUAAAAAAAAAAAUUAUACAUAUAGAUAUGUAGUAUCAAUGUGGUAACAGUGGUGGCAAUUAUAUUAGUGUCCAACAUUAAUCAUGAUUCAUUUUUGACUUAUUGUAUUAAUCAUGAUUCAUUUUUGACUUAUUGUUAUUAUUUUAAUUAUUUUCUGUUUCAUUUAUUUUUCAUUUCCGACAACGCAUUAUCCUAGUCCAACUUUUGUACCAAUAAGAAACACUCAAUCCUACGUAUCCAACUUCUUCUUUAUUUCUUUUUUCUUUUUUAAUUUUAUAUAUUUGGAUUAAAAAAAAGUCACCUUUCCAACCACUCCUAGACGUAACUGGUCUAUGAUAAUUUACCAAUGUGGUAUAUAUAACCUAACCUCGUAUGCUCAUAUAUACCUUAAAAUCAUCUUCAAUUCUCCUACGUUAAUUGCAAUAUCCUAAACCAAAACAAAUUAAAGAAAUGGAGAAAACAGCUCACUGUGUAAUCCUGCCAUAUCCCAUCCAAGGCCACAUAAACCCCAUGAUCCAAUUCUCCAAACGCUUAGCCCACAAGGGCAUCGCAGUCACCUUCGCCGUCACAGAAGACGUCCCCGUCAACGAAUUCUCCGCCGACAUCUCCGUCGAGACCAUCUCCGACGGCUACCAUGGCAACAGAGCCGACGCCGCCUUGCCGGAGUAUCUGCUCAUCUUCCGAAAGGCCGGGACGGAGUCGCUGUCCAAACUCAUCCAGAAGCUUCGAGAAGACGGCCGCCCCGUCGACUGCGUCGUCUACGACGCGUUCCUGCCGUGGGGGCUCUCCGUCGCGAGGGAUUUGGGGCUGUUUGGGGCUGCGUUUUUCACGCAGUCGUGCUGCGUCAACAUCAUCUACUACAAUAUAUUCAAAGGGUUGCUGAGAGUUCCGGUUUUGGAGAAGGAGAUCUCGGUUGCUGGGCUGCCGGCGCUGGAGGUUUCCGAUCUGCCGUCGUUUGUUCUUGAUCAGGAGGCGCAUCCCGGCUCGCUCGAGCUGGCUCUGAGCCAGUUUGAAGGCGUGGAGGAUUGUGAGUUCGUGUUCGUUAACUCGGUUUAUGAGCUCGAGGAAGAGGUAUAUCUCCCUCCGUCCACCUUUUAGUACUCCCUCCGUCCACAAUUUAAAGCCCCACUUUGGUGUGGGCACAGAGACUAAGAAAACUAAAAAAUGUGAUGUGGAUGAAAUAUAACCGUAGUUGACUAAAGUGAUAAAUAUAGUUGACUAAAGUGAUAAAGGUGUUAUGAGUGGGUCCACUAGUGAUAAAGUGUAGUAAAUAUAGAAUAUAAAAAUGAUAAAGGUGCUUUAAGGUGAGUCAAUUAAUGGCAAAAGGGUAGUAAAUAUAGGAAAAGAAAAAGAGUAAAAGUACAAAAAGUAGAAUUGAGCUUUAAUUUGUGGACAAAAAAUUAAGGGUAAAUUUGGUAUAAAACCAUAAUAAAUUUUCAAAUUUUGAUUUUUCCCACAAUCUUUCAUUUUUGUUUCAAAAUUCAUAAUAAAUUAUUUUUUUUGGAAUUUCCCACGAUGGCAGAUUCCAAUAAAAAAUUUAAAUAACGUGUCAAUACAAUGUAAUUACAUGAAAAUUAUGUGACAUGACAAUCUAAUUGCCCCUUGCGUUUUAACUGUGCUUGAUCCCGUUAGAGCUGCGCUUGGGGCGGCCGUUAAAACGUGGGGGCGUUUUGCUUCAAUUUUGAAACGUUGAGGUAGUAAACAACGCCAACCCUGACGUUAGGAUGUUAAAGGCGAUAGAGGUGUCAACGUUGAGGGGGAAAGUGGUACUUAACCCUUAAAUAUGCCACAUCAUUCAAGUUCGGCGCCACGUCAUUUAAAAAAUUCGCUGGAAAGUCACACUAUGGGAAAUUCCAAAAAAGUGAUUUAUUAUGUAUUUUGAAACAAAAAUGAAAUUUUAUGGGAAAAACCAAAAUUUGGAAAUUUAUUAUGGUUUUAAACCAAAUUUACCCAAAAAUUAAAAGCCAGUAGGGCUUUAAAUUGUGUACGGAGGGAGUAUCUAUUAAUUGAGUGAAAGGAGUUUUAAUAAAAUGUGAUUGAGUGUAUUGUGAAUAGAAUAAUGAUAUCAACUUUUAUGUGAGUGUUAAAAUAAUUAAAGUAGAAUAAGAGUUCACCUACUUUUAUUAAAAAUAAAAAUAAAUAUCAAAUAUCGAACGUCCAAAAAAGAAAGAUUAAUAUUAAAAAUUGGAAUGGAGAGAGUAAUUAUUCAAAUUAAUUAAUCAUAUAUGCCAAAAAUGAAAUAGAAACUUUGGAAUUAUGCUGGGUUGGUUUUCAUGCUCAUAUAUUGCUUUCAUGGUAUGCUUCAUUUCUUCACGAGAAUUAUAGUGUGAUAUAGGACACGCAUUUUAAUAAUAAAUGAAAUUUAAAAUAUAUGUAUAUCUACAUAUUUAAGUCAUUGUGGCUUAUGAUGCACGGAUUCUUCAAAAAUUAGCAUGUACGGCGAAUCGGAUUCUUUUAGGGUGUGAUUCUCUCGGAUUCUCGUCGGAUUCGCAUCCGAUUCGCCACGUGGCGUAUCUUUUAAAACAAUUUAUAAAAAUAAACCGGAUUCGCAAAUUCCAUAGGCGAAAUUCACGUAUCUCGUGCACGAAAGGCCUACACAAGAUUAUUUUGAUAAUUUUAUUUUCAGUUAUAACUUAUAUAUUGGACUAAUAAUAUUUGAAUCGUUAUAUUGUUGCUCAAUUAACUUAUAUAAUUGAAAAUGCUUAACUUUUGGGUAAAAUAAAAUGUAAAUUACGUAUAAUUAAUUUUAAAAAAAUUAAAUUGUAUAUAUUUUAUAAGCAUUAUAUAUCAUAAAAUUUUAAUAAUUAGAUGUAUCCUUGCCGAAUCGCACCCUAUAAUUUUUAAAAACUCGUAUCCCCGUACUCGUAUCGUAUCGCCCCGCAUCCGCACCUCUGUCCGUACCUAUGCAACAUAGCUUGUGGCUAACUGACAUUAAGUCAUAUUCAUCUAUUAUAUAAUAGGAUUAAGCCUUAACCUAUGUGGCUUAUCUAAAAUCUCACCAUUUCAAAAUUUACCAUAUAUAAUCUUCAUCAUUUAUUAAUUAAUUAACUAUUACAUUCUAUAUAAAAAUUCAUUAAUCAUAAUAAAUAUAAUUAAUAAUAAAUGUAUAUAUAUAAUAAUAUUAACAUUACAUAUAAUCUAAAUUAAUAAAUUUUAUUAUUUAUUUUUUCUAGAUAAAAAUUAGAUUUACAUGUCUGAUAAGAAAAAAAUCAUAAUUUAUAUACAAUAAAUUAUUUUAAUUGAAUGUUAGUGAUUAGAUGUAUAUUUGUUAUUAAUUUUAUAUUUCUCAAAAGUCGUAUAUAUUAUAUGUAUAUGUUGCAAUAUAUUAUACUGUAUGAAUUAUAUAUAUAUAUAUAUAUAUAUAUAAUAUUUAUCUUCUUAAUUUUCAAUAAAAUCAAUUUUAAAUUGAGUUUGAAUUGAGACAUGCACGUGUAUGUAAAUUAUAAACGGGUUCGGUCAUUGAUUUACAUGUUUUAAUAAUAAGGCAAAAAUUCUAUAACCUGAUUACUUUAAAACAAAAUCUUAUUUUAUGUCUAUCAAAAUAAUUAAAAUUUUAUUUUUAUUUUUUAUAAAAUAUAUCCGUACAUUUUAUUUGUAUAGGGAAGAAAAAUAUAUUUUUCAUAUCUAAAAACUUUAUUUGUUUCAGUUUCGUCAAUAAUAAUAAUAAUAAUAAUAAUAAUAAUAAUAAUAAUAAUAAUAAUAAUAAUAGAUAAAUUAUGAAAUUAGUAAUGCAUAAAUGAAGAAUUUAGAUAAAGAACAAUAGAGGAUAUGAUGUUAAAAUACAUUACAAAUCUUUAAUUAUGUAUUAAAUUUAUAAUAAUCUCAAUCGAGUGAAGAAUUCAUAUAAAUCACCUCAUUUCACAUUGAUUUUUUUUAUAAGGUUUCACUAAAAUAAAACUUAUACAAGAAGAAGCUCUUGCUCUCCAAAUUAAAAAUCUAUAUUUAAUUGGCGGAAUGAUUGAGACUAAUACAAUUUGAAUAUCUCCAAGCGAGAUGAUUCCCGAAACCCAAUUAAAUGAUGAUACUCACAAGUUAAAUUUGUUCUUUCAAACUCUAAACGAGAUGAUUCUUGGAACCCAAUUAUAAUAUUUGAAGCUAAUAAUGCAUAAAAGUUUGUCAAGAUUUUUUCAAGUUCCAUACAAAAUGAUGUUUACAAGUUAGUUAUGAUAUUAGAAGCUUACAAGUUCCAUAUUCGACGGGCUAAAAUAUAUAUGUUUAGAAGUAGUUAUGAUCCUACAAGCUUAAGAUGAUAAUGAUCUUUAAAGCUGCACACGAAAUGAUUUUUGUAACUUAGUUGUGGUCAUUAAAAGUUCAAAUGAGAUGAUACUCACAAGUUAAAUUUGUUAUUUCAAACUCCAAACGAGAUGAUUCUUGGAACCCAAUUAUAAUAUUUGAAGCUAAUAAUGCAUAAAAUUUUGGACAAGAUCUUUUCAAGUUCCAUACAAAAUGAUGUUUACAAGUUAGUUAUGAUGUUGGAAGCUCCAAAUCAUAUAAUCUCAGAAGUCAACUUUGAGUUUUGAAGCUAUAUCGUCUUUCAGGCGAUAGAUGAUAAUAUGAUCCUACAUAGUUUAGACGAGAUGAUGCUCAGAUGAAAAUCUUCAAUCUUAUAUCGACAUUUUUUCAAAACAUUAUUAAAUAAAAAUUUAUAUAAAAAUAAUAUUUAUUAUUAUAAUAAAAAUUAACAUUUAAUUAAAAAAUAUGGUCCAGAUUAAUAUAAUUUCAAUUAUAUUACCUCAAAUUAAAUAAAUUUAAAAAUAUUUUAUAUAUAAAUAAUUGCUUAUAUAAAAAUAAUAUUAUAUAAUUUAAAUAAUAAUAUAAAAUAAAUAUCCUCUAAUUUAUAUAUAAAUAAUUGCUUAUAUAAAAAUAAUAUUAUAUAAUUUAAAUAAUAAUAUAAAAUAAAUAUCCGUCGAACUUCGACGGGUUAUACACUACUUUAUUUAUUACCAAUUUGUGUUUUGCUUCCUAGCACGGCAGAUCGAUCCUAUCAUCGGCCCCCCAAAAGAGAAAGUAACGACAAAGAUUGGGACCAUGAUGUGAUUGUUAUAAAGUUUAAUUUAUUUUUUAAUAAAAGAAUAUAUAAUGUUCUUUGAAAAAUAAUAAUUUAUAUAUAAUUAUUUUAUUUUAUCUUUAUCUAUUGUUGCACGUAUAAUUUUUUACAAAUAUUAAAUAAUUCCAUAUAUCAUUAUUUAUUGGGCAAAGGAGUAAUAAUUUUUAUGUAACAAAAUUUAGUUACAUCUGCACAUAUAUGUAUCUAUAAAUUUUUAUAAAAUAUAAAAAUGUAAUUAAGUAAAUUUUGGCUCUUACAAUAAUUAACACACUUACUAUAUUUUGUGACAUUCUUUUACUUUUAUAACACGAAUAAUAGUUACUAAAAAGAUAGUUAGAUUUUAUCAUUUUGGGAUAUCCAUCAAAAUUAUUUUUUUUCUAUUUUUGGAAACCAUGUCUAUCACAUGACCCUUUAUCUACUCACAACACAAUUAAUUAUCAUUAUUAAAACUUUUUUUCUUUUUAAGUGCGAACCACUCUCCAUUCAUAAUACACUAAAAAAUUAUAUUUUUUUGUGGACGGAGAGAGUAUAACUUUACUUAUUCAAAAAUCAUGUAACUAAAAAAGCACUAAUUUUAUAGAAACAAAUGGAGAAUUAACUAUUAAGGUACCUUAUUUGUCUCGUGUCUGGUUUCAGACAACUGAUUGGCUGAGAAAAUUUAUGUAUGUGAAAACAAUCGGACCAACCAUACCGUCAAUGUACCUAGACAAAAGAUUGGCACGUGAUACAGAUUAUGGUCUUAGUUUGUUCAAGCCAAUAGACACUUGCAUGGAAUGGCUACAACAACAAUCACCUAAAUCGGUCAUAUAUAUCUCCUUUGGUAGUAUGGCCAAAUUGGAAAAGCAACAAAUGGAGGAAUUGGCAACAACCCUAAAGCUAACCGGCAAACCCUUCCUAUGGGUGGUCCGAUCGUCGGAGGAAUCGAAGCUACCCGAGAAAUUCGCAGAAGAGGCCUUUGGGAAGGGGCUAAUUGUGUCGUGGUGCCCGCAGCUGGAGGUUCUGGCCCACGAUGCCAUUGGCUGCUUUGUCACGCACUGUGGAUGGAACUCGACUCUGGAGGCCCUGAGUCUGGGGGUCCUGAUGGUGGGGGUCCCGUGGUGGAGUGACCAGGCUACCAAUGCUAAGUUUGUGAUGGAUGUUUGGAAAAUGGGAGUGAGGGCUUUCCCCAAUGAGGGAGGUAUUGUUGGGCAUGAGGAGUUGUCUCGAUGUGUGAAGUAUGUGAUGGAGGGAGAGAGAGCGGAAGAGAUGAGAGAGAAUGCAAUGAAAUGGAAGGAAUUGACAAAGGGAGCUGUUGAUGAGGGAGGAAGUUCGGAUAGAAAUAUUCAAGAAUUUGUUUCUACUAUGAUGGGAGGAGACCGGCCACAAAAGUAAUUAGGUUCUUGAUUAUUGAAAUAUCUUUAAAUAAUUGGAAAGUUCAUGUAUAUUAACCAUGAAUUUUGAUAUGAUGUAACACAACUUAAUUUGUAAGAUGCUAUUUUUGUAACUAAUGAAUUGAUGGUUCGACUCAUCUAAAUAAAACUUGAAAAAAAAUGAUAGGGCAUUGGAGAGCCGUUAUCAUUUAUGUAAAUGUUACUUGCAUCUCUCAUCUAUGUUCAAAUGGGAAUCGCUGUACCCAGCUAUAUUAGGAUUAGGCAAGUAAUUAGACAACAAUUAUUUUUCAUUACUUCUUUCCAUUUGCAAUGUCGGCGGUUUUAAAUUGCCAGAAAUUGCAAUCACAUCGUCAAACUAGAUUAAUUAAUACUGUUGACCUUAACAAAGAAUUCCACGUACGCAUUAAUUAAUUUUGUUUGAUACUUAAUCAAACAAGCAACAAUGAUUUUAAUGAUCUUUCUUCAGUUGCUAAAUGUUGUUACAAGUUAAGCUCGUGUAUAAAUGGGCAAUUUUAGACAAUUUUAUAACAAAAGCAAUAUUGUACUCCCUUUGUUUGAGAAACCGUUGGUGGGCAUGGGGCGCUGUGUUGCUUUGUGGAUGAAACUUGAUCAGAUUGUAUAAUGCAUGUCGAUGGUCUGUAUUUUGGCAUCGUAUGGUUUAGUUGACAAUUCUAUAUAUAAUUAAUUAAUUGUUAGAUAUUAAAAGGGAAUAAGUAUAUAGUGUCACAAUUAAUUGAAAAUCUCCAAGUCAACUAUUUAUUUAUAUAUACUAAUAUAAAAAGUGUAUUGGGCACAAAAUAUAGAUUGCCUUCUAUAUCUUUAUUAUUGAUUAAAAUCAUAAUUAAUAUUUUUUUAAAGGGGUAUUAUUGAUUAAAAUCACAAUUAAUCUUUUUUUAUAUAUAAAUUAAAAUUUUAAUCUUAAUUGAUAUGGAGAGUUACUUUGUAGAAUAAUGCAAACGGGCAACUUUGAAAUAUUCCUACUUUAUUUUUACAAUCAUUACAAAAUAAUAAAUUUAAACGACGCAAAUAAAAAAAAUGCAAGACAAAUUACCACAAUUUUCAAUUUUCAUAAGGGUUCCACAGUGGCACAUCGAUCAGAUUUCAUCAACUUUUAUUCUACCCUCUCCGUUUCAUUAGUAAUUAUCCACUACUUUUUACCAUAAAAAUUAAAAAUAGUGUAGUUAGUGUAUAAACUGAAUUGUGAAAGAUAUAUUAAAAAUUAUUUUAAGUGAAUUUGUAGAUUGAGCCCAUCAUUGGAUAAUAUUUUAGAUAAUUAAUUUUUUAUUAAAAAGAUAUGAGAUAUUAUUAGUAGGACGUGGAAAUUACUAAUAUUGAGAUGAAUGAAGUACUUUUUCACUCUAAUAUUCUCUUCGUCCUAAUGUCUCAUUUUCCAUAAUGGAAUAUUCCGUUACAAAUGUCUUUUUUUUUUGGCAACAUAUUAUGUCCACAAACCCACUUUAUCUAUAAAUGCCUAAAAAUAAUAUAUAGAACAUUAUAUUUCAAACUCAAUAUAUGAAUUCUACUAUCACAUAUGACUUAUAUAUAGAGUUCACCUCUUACACGUAACUAGGUCUAGAUAAUAUAACAUAACAUAACGUGACAUAACCUAGUAUGCUCAUACCUUAAAAUCAUCUUCUCCUACAUUAACUGCAAUAUCCCAAACCAAACUCAGCCCCUCAAAAAUGGAGAAAACAGCACACAAACCACACUGUUUAAUCCUGCCAUAUCCCAUCCAAGGCCACAUAAACCCCAUGAUCCAAUUCUCGAAACGCUUAGCCCACAAGGGCAUCGCAGUCACCUUCGCCAUAAGAGAAGACGUCCCCAUCAACGAAUUCUCCGCCGACAUCUCCGUCGAGACCAUCUCGACGGCUCCAAGGCAACAGAGCCAACACCAAGCUGCCGGAGUAUCUGCUCAUCUUCCGAAAGGCCGGGACGGAGUCGCUGUCCAAACUCAUCCAGAAGCUUCGAGAAGACGGCCGCCCCGUCGACUGCGUCGUCUACGACGCGUUCCUGCCGUGGGGGCUCUCCGUC